GAAGGGGAAAAGGGGCAACUACCAUAAGAGGGGAAACAGGAAAGAGUAAUACGCAUAAGUAUGAGGUGCAGACCUAAAUAGUAAAGUGGGUUUUACAAGUAUCAAUUAUGGAUGGGCCGGUUUGAUUAGUUAUUGUGGGGUAGAAGCUUACCAAGGCAACGAUCAGUAGCCGGCUGAGAGGGUGGACGGCCACAUGGGAUGAGACACGGCCCAGACUCUACGGGAGGCAGCAGUGGGGAAUAUUGCGCAAUGGGGGAAACCCUGACGCAGCGACGCCGCGUGAGCGAUGAAGGCCUUAGGGUCGUAAAGCUCUGUUGUAAGGGACGAAUGUUUAUCUGGCGAACAGUCAGAUAAAGUGACGGUACCUUACCAGCAAGCCCCGGCUAACUACGUGCCAGCAGCCGCGGUAAGACGUAGGGGGCGAGCGUUGUCCGGAAUUACUGGGCGUAAAGAGCACGUAGGCGGAUAAUUAAGUCAGAUGUGAAAGACCGGGGCCCAACCUCGGGGUUGCAUCUGAAACUGGAUAUCUUGAGGGCAGGAGAGGAAAGUGGAAUUCCUGGUGUAGCGGUGAAAUGCGUAGAAAUCAGGAGGAAUACCAGUGGCGAAGGCGACUUUCUGGACUGACCCUGACGCUGAGGUGCGAAAGCGUGGGUAGCAAACAGGAUUAGAUACCCUGGUAGUCCACGCUGUAAACGAUGGAUACUAGGUGUGGGAGGUAUCGACCCCUUCCGUGCCGGAGCUAACGCAAUAAGUAUCCCGCCUGGGGAGUACGGUCGCAAGGCUGAAACUCAAGGAUUGACGGGGGCCAGCACAA
rnacentral:rRNA from 1 species